AGGAAAUCCCUCGCCCCGCGUUCGGGGGGGGGCAGAAUUGGCCUCAGGGCGGGUGCAAGGAGGAGGAAGAGGAGGAGGAAACAGGAAAGUGAACUAAUCUCUCUUCCCUCUAUUCGGAACCCAAAGAGAAGAAUUAAGAGUCCAAACAUUUGCAAGGUACAAACAGAACAACAAGAAUUAUAUGGAACAACAUUUUCUGCUAUAGAAAAGAACCGAAUGUGAAGGCGGAAAAGAACAAAAUUAGACACCAAAAAGGAGGGGGAAAGGCAGAAGGGAAGCCGGCCCAGGACAAAGGAAAAUACAUCUCCAUCUUCUUAGGGCUCUAGUAUUCAUAACUAACUAUUCUAACUAUAGAAAAAAAGACACCGAGAAAAAAGGAAGAAAAUAGUGUCCCAUUAGAACAGAUACACUCAUGUGGGAAAGAAAGUGCAUUCCCUUUUAAUUCUAUGGUUUUGCGUAUCAGGACAUAAUAAUUUAAAAAUCCUGAUCCUUAGCAGGUCUGAAAAUUGAGUAAAUAGAACCUUAGAUAAACAACAACCCAUGGCAUAUUUGCACUGUGUCAUUACUUAUUUCAUAGAAGUAAAGCCAAAACGGAGAAGCCAUGUGUGAAAACCUAAGUACACCUUUACUGGUUCCACAGGAAUUAAGAGGCUAAGUAGCAGCCAGGUGCUGCUAACCCAGUGCCCUUGAGUAACUGAUUA